rnacentral:rRNA from 1 species
GAUCCAGGCUCCUGCCUAUUAGAUGCAGUCGAACGAGCUUCCGUGUGAAUGACGUGCUUGCACUGAUUUCAACAAUGAAGCGAGUGGCGAACUGGUGAGUAACACGUGGGAAAUCUGCCCAGAAGCAGGGGAUAACACUUGGAAACAGGUGCUAAUACCGUAUAACAACAAAAUCCGCAUGGAUUUUGUUUGAAAGGUGGCUUCGGCUAUCACUUCUGGAUGAUCCCGCGGCGUAUUAGUUAGUUGGUGAGGUAAAGGCCCACCAAGACGAUGAUACGUAGCCGACCUGAGAGGGUAAUCGGCCACAUUGGGACUGAGACACGGCCCAAACUCCUACGGGAGGCAGCAGUAGGGAAUCUUCCACAAUGGACGAAAGUCUGAUGGAGCAAUGCCGCGUGAGUGAAGAAGGGUUUCGGCUCGUAAAACUCUGUUGUUAAAGAAGAACACCUUUGAGAGUAACUGUUCAAGGGUUGACGGUAUUUAACCAGAAAGCCACGGCUAACUACGUGCCAGCAGCCGCGGUAAUACGUAGGUGGCAAGCGUUGUCCGGAUUUAUUGGGCGUAAAGCGAGCGCAGGCGGUUUUUUAAGUCUGAUGUGAAAGCCUUCGGCUUAACCGGAGAAGUGCAUCGGAAACUGGGAGACUUGAGUGCAGAAGAGGACAGUGGAACUCCAUGUGUAGCGGUGGAAUGCGUAGAUAUAUGGAAGAACACCAGUGGCGAAGGCGGCUGUCUAGUCUGUAACUGACGCUGAGGCUCGAAAGCAUGGGUAGCGAACAGGAUUAGAUACCCUGGUAGUCCAUGCCGUAAACGAUGAGUGCUAAGUGUUGGAGGGUUUCCGCCCUUCAGUGCUGCAGCUAACGCAUUAAGCACUCCGCCUGGGGAGUACGACCGCAAGGUUGAAACUCAAAGGAAUUGACGGGGGCCCGCACAAGCGGUGGAGCAUGUGGUUUAAUUCGAAGCUACGCGAAGAACCUUACCAGGUCUUGACAUCUUUCUGCCAAUCUUAGAGAUAAGACGUUCCCUUCGGGGACAGAAUGACAGGUGGUGCAUGAUGUCGUCAGCUCGUGUCGUGAGAUGGUGGUAGUCCGCACGAGCGCACCCUUAUUAUCAGUGCCAGCAUUCAGUUGGCACUCUGGGUGAGAACUGCCGGGUGACACAACCGGAGGAAGG